CCCCAAACACCAGAGCCAGAGCUGGGAGAUGGCCAGUCUUUUCCUGCCCAAGUCUUCCAGUGGCCCCUGGCUCCUCUACUACAUGGCCCUCUGUCUUCUGGGGUCGGGUUCCAUGGCUGCUGGAGUCACCCAGUCCCCAAGACACCUAAUCAAAAGUCCUGAGGGGAAGGCUGUUCUGAAGUGCCAUCCUAUCUCUGGACACAAUACUGUGUACUGGUACCAACAGGCUCCGGGACAGGGCCCCGAGUUCCUCAUUAGUUUUUUUGAAAAGGAGGAGGGACAGAAAGGAAACAUCCCUGAUCGGUUCUUAGGAAAACAGUUCGAUAACUACAGCUCUGAGUUGGCCAUGAGCGCCUUGCAGCUGGGAGACUCGGCCGUGUAUCUCUGUGCCAGCAGCUUAGACACAGCCCUGCAGGGUCCAUGGCUCUCUGCACUCAAACCUCCCUGCCCCAGAUGAGGAUGUCACAGGAGAGGGAGGGGCCUUAGUGAGUUUCCAGGGCUUCUAGUUCUUUUCUAAGACUCUCUCUGCCCUGUUGAGCUCAGCCAGAGCUUUCCUGAGCGUCCUCCCAGCUCUGCCAGCACCUGGC